rnacentral:rRNA from 1 species
AAGUCGUAACAAGGUUUUGCGGAGCAACAGAUCCUUCUGUAGCAGAGCUCGCGGAGACCAGGCACAGCGACUAUAAAUAAUGCGUCAGUCAGUAAUGGCAACACAAUCGAAUUGCGGGGACGCCAUAACGCUCACCGGUACCAACUGCCUGCGGCAACGUAGGCAGGGCUGGCUCUGCCAGAGGUCAUAACCCGGGGAGAUGCACCAAUUGGCAAUCUGCAGCGAAACCCGUUCUACGGGCUCGUUCACAGACUAAGUGAUUGUGGGCGGGGCUUUGAGCCCUGCUUAAGAUAUAGUCGGACCCGUGCGAGAGCGCUGGGAGUUCUGCAGAACGAAUCGUCCGUAGGUGAACCUGCGGAAGGAUCAUUAGAGAAGGCGACCCCUUAAGUGCGGGCGCCACCGAGCUUUGGCGGGGCGGGCGUAAAACCCCACCCCGCCGGGCACACUCUCACCCUGUGUUAACGUACCUUUGUUGCUUUGGCAGGCCGCGGCCUCCGCUGUGGGCGUCUGCUCACACGUGCCUGCCAGAGAACCCAACUCUUGAUUUUAGUGAUGUCUGAGUACUAUUAAAUAGUUAAAACUUUCAACAACGGAUCUCUUGGNUCUGGCAUCGAUGAAGAACGCAGCGAAAUGCGAUGAGUAAUGUGAAUUGCAGAAUUCAGUGAAUCAUCGAAUCUUUGAACGCACAUUGCGCCCGCUGGNAUUCCGGCGGGNAUGCCUGUUCGAGCGUCNUNUGACCANUCANNCUCNNNNGNCUGGGGUCGCUAGCCGGCGGCCCUUAAACGCAGUGGCGGUGCCGUGCGGCUCUCAGCGUAGUAAUUUAUCUCGCUACAGGGUCCGGACGGUGCUGGCCAGCAACCCCAACUAUACUAGGUUGACCUCGGAUCAGGUAGGGAUACCCGCUGAACUUAAGCAUAUCAAUAAGCGGAGGAAAAGAAACCAACAGGGAUUACCUCAGUAACGGCGAGUGAAGCGGUAACAGCUCAAAUUUGAAAUCUGGCUCUUUCAGGGUCCGAGUUGUAAUUUGUAGAAGAUGCUUCGAGUGUGGUCCCGGUCUAAGUUCCUUGGAACAGGACGUCAUAGAGGGUGAGAAUCCCGUAUGUGACUGGGUGCCUUCGCUCAUGUGAAGCUCUUUCGACGAGUCGAGUUGUUUGGGAAUGCAGCUCAAAAUGGGUGGUAAAUUUCAUCUAAAGCUAAAUAUUGGCCAGAGACCGAUAGCGCACAAGUAGAGUGAUCGAAAGAUGAAAAGCACUUUGGAAAGAGAGUUAAACAGUACGUGAAAUUGUUGAAAGGGAAGCGCUUGCAAUCAGACUUGCCCGCCGUCGAUCAUCCGGGGUUCUCUCCGGUGCACUCGGCGGCGUUCAGGCCAGCAUCGGUUUCGAGGGUGGGAUAAAGGCCUUGGGAAUGUAGCUUCUUUCGGGGAGUGUUAUAGCCCUCGGUGCAAUGCCGCCUCUCGGGACCGAGGACCGCGCUUCGGCUAGGAUGCUGGCGUAAUGGUUGUAAGCGACC